rnacentral:rRNA from 1 species
GAUGAACGCUGGCGGCGUGCCUAAUACAUGCCAGUCGAGCGGACGGACGAGAAGCUUGCUUCUCUGAUGUUAGCGGCGGACGGGUGAGUAACACGUGGAUGACCUACCUAUAAGACUGGGAUAACUUCGGGAAACCGGAGCUAAUACCGGAUAAUAUUUUGAACCGCAUGGUUCAAAAGUGAAAGACGGUCUUGCUGUCACUUAUAGAUGGAUCCGCGCUGCAUUAGCUAGUUGGUAAGGUAACGGCUUACCAAGGCAACGAUGCAUAGCCGACCUGAGAGGGUGAUCGGCCACACUGGAACUGAGACACGGUCCAGACUCCUACGGGAGGCAGCAAUAGGGAAUCUUCCGCAAUGGGCGAAAGCCUGACGGAGCAACGCCGCGUGAGUGAUGAAGGUCUUCGGAUCGUAAAACUCUGUUAUUAGGGAAGAACAUAUGUGUAAGUAACUGUGCACAUCUUGACGGUACCUAAUCAGAAAGCCACGGCUAACUACGUG